rnacentral:lncRNA from 1 species
GCCUGCUGGCCAUAGUCUACAGACCCAUGCUAUAAUACACGAGUAACUGGUGUGAGUAACUACACACAGACAGAAAAGCACCCAGUGAACAGUGCCUUCAUUUCUCGAAUUUCCUGCUUUCUGUCAACAUGCAUCACACAGUUACAUGCUCUUCCUGUGGUUGCAAUCAGUUUAUCUUUGCAUUCUGCUGUUUUAAAAUUUAACGCCCAUUUCUGUGGAUUGGCAUAGCCCACAUUCUUGUGAAUCACCCACAGUGAUUCCUGCAGUGUUGUCCCCAGCCUCAAGCCUCUCUGCACCGUAAUUGUGCUUCUUUUCCUCAGAUACCUGCCUUGCAUUGGCCCUGGGUAAAUGUUUCCCUUGGCUGUGAAUAGGCAAUUAAAAUUCUGAACCUUUUAUGGCUCUGGAAGCUUAUCCGAUGAAACAAUACUCAUCCAGGCGGAUGGCCCACCAGCGCAAAGGGCUGAGGCCGCUGUAAGCCAAGGUACGCAACGCUUGCUAAACAGGAAUCCCUGGAAUGAAUCCAUGCAUGAGGCCUUUGUGCCAUGUGACAGUUGAAGGCUGUGGUGACCCCGGAACCGUCCCACUCCGAGACGCCUUAACACCGUUUUUCUGCUGUUACAAACCACAGAGCAACGCGUGUGCCUCCUCCCGCCCUGGGGACUCUUUCUGUGGGAGAGGUGCCUGGAUUUAGAGGAGCGACCACUCUUCAUUUGUAGGUACUCUCCCUAGCCUGGGAGCCCUUCAGCUCCCACUCCAGAGUGGUUGUUGGUGGAUCUUGGUCACUUUCCCAGUUGUCACUCGGCCCACAAACUAGGAUGUGAGCAGCAUAUUAAGAAUCUGCAGAGAUGUUCCCGUCUGCCCGGCAUAUGGAUGUCCUUCUGGGCUGCAAAGUGGCAUCCUGUGGGCAACUCCCCCCACAACAACCAGCUGUGAGCUGUGCCCAGGCACAGAGGGACCUGGCUUUCCCUGUUUCUGCAGAUGGAGCCCAGGGUUUCAGGGAGGGAGGGGGCAGGCUGGGACCUGUUGGGGAUCUGGGCACUUUCUCAUGCUCCUUGAGCUGCAAGUCAUAGAAGGAGUGGGGUGGGAGCUGGGAAUGUACCUUCCCAAGGCCACUGGCAGAACCAGCAGGCCCUUUGCUCUGGGAUGAGCUCCCUCUGAGGGGUGGGGACAGUAAAGCGGACCGAAGUCCCUGUUCUGCGGGAUGGAAACUGGCUCCCCUCCAUUGUACAGGCCAGCUCUGGGGAUUUGGGCAGCAGAUUUGGGGUUGACAGCAGAAUGACAUGAUCACCAGUUGACCUUGGCCAGGAUGCCAGCUUACUUUCUCGCUUACUUCUGCAGGUUCUUUGUUCUGCGG